CACGUAGUUAGCCGUGGCUUUCUGGUUAGAUACCGUCAAUCUACUAACAUUUCCUCUAGUAGCCGUUCUUCUCUAACAACAGUGCUUUACGAUCCGAAAACCUUCUUCACACACGCGGCGUUGCUCCGUCAGACUUGCGUCCAUUGCGGAAGAUUCCCUACUGCUGCCUCCCGUAGGAGUUUGGGCCGUGUCUCAGUCCCAAUGUGGCCGAUCACCCUCUCAGGUCGGCUAUGCAUCAUCGCCUUGGUAAGCCGUUACCUUACCAACUAGCUAAUGCACCGCGGGGCCAUCCUUUAAUGAUGCCGUAGCACCUUUCCCAACUUAACCAGGCGGUUAAAUUGUCUAUGCGGUAUUAGCAGUCGUUUCCGACUGUUAUCCCCCACUAAAGGGCAGGUUCCCCAGUGUUACUCACCCGUGCGCCACUAACCUUAACGAGAACAAGUUCAAGUUGCGGUUCGUUCGACUUGCAUGUAUUAGGCACGCCGCCAGCGUUCGUCCUGAGCCAGGAUCAAACUCU
rnacentral:rRNA from 1 species